CCGGGACCGCCCCGCCCCGCCCCGCCCCGCCCCCUGCAGGCGCCGUGUGCUGCGGCCGAGACAGAGGGUCUGCGCCCCGCCUGCUGCCUCAGCCGCGUCUCGUGCCGCCGGCAAGGGCCGGAGGGGUCCUGGGUCUUGGUACCAAGCGGGGAAGCCCUGAGCGGGGCUGGGGUGGUGACGAGGUGCCGCCGGGAGAGCCGUGCGGCUGCUCCCCACCUCCCCGGCCGUGUGUGCCUGCCCCUUGACGGGGAAAAAAACACCAGCUUGUAAAGAAGUGGUUUCCCGUGUGCUCUGCCGCUCCUUUCCGGCUUCUGGAAAACAAAUUAUUUAUUGAAGGAGGAAGGAAAAGCGGCUCAAGCUGAGCCCUUUGGGAGAUGUUAUUUGCCCUUUAACAGCGCGCAGCUGGAGUCCCGGGCGGGUGAAGCUCGUCGUCUAGGAGCGGGCAGGACCCGAGCCUCGCUUUAGGCGUCCAUGACACACACACUGGAGCACCGGGCCAACUUGAGCAGCAAGAGGGCUGCUGGUGCACUUCAGGUUAACUACAUACCCCAAAUCUGCAAGAUCAAGAUGCAAGUAAUCCAAGUUCUCUUCCCUAAGUAUCACUGCUGCAAGCAUUUUUUCCACCUUACUGGAAAAAAGUCUGUUUUUGACAUGCCCCUGUGCUGGGUGGAGCAAGAGCCAGUUCCUGUCAUACAAGAAUUUCCCUACACCAGAGAAAUGCUUCACUCAGACCUGCUGACUCGAGGUCACCUUCAUACCAGAAGAGCAGUAAAAAGCUACUCCUAUAUUGAAGUUUGUUGCAGAUUUUUUAUUAAAUGUUUGACGUAACUGAU